ACUUUUUAGCAUGCCUUUUUUAAAAAUUUGAGAUUUUUAUGGCAAACAAUCAGGAUUUCGAUGCUGAUCACGAAUUAGUAUUUGAUGCGGUCUGGGACAUAACUCCCAGUGGCAUUUCUACAAGGUUUCUACAUUGGUGCAUUGGACAAGAGGGAGUGACCGUCUGAUCCUCAGAAAUACCGAUGGAUGAAAUUUUGAAUAGAAAUAUACUGUCUAAUUUUCCAAAUAUACUGAAGAAUUAUUCCUUAACUUUGAUAUUUGGUCGAAUAUUAGUAGCUAAUAAGAUCCUCAGCGCUAAACAUAAAAUGUUAACCGAUUUAUGAAUAAAUUUUCUACAAGGACUUCCUUAAAA